rnacentral:rRNA from 1 species
GACGAACGCUGGCGGCAGGCCUAACACAUGCAAGUCGAACGGGUGUAGCAAUACAUCAGUGGCGCACGGGUGAGUAACGCGUGGGAACGUGCCCUUCACUACGGGACAACGUCGGGAAACUGACGCUAAUACCGUAUAAUGUCUCCGGACCAAAGAUUUAUCGGUGAAGGAUCGGCCCGCGUCUGAUUAGCUAGUUGGUGAGGUAAAAGCUCACCAAGGCGACGAUCAGUAGCUGGUUUGAGAGAAUGAUCAGCCACACUGGGACUGAGACACGGCCCAGACUCCUACGGGAGGCAGCAGUGAGGAAUCUUGGAAAAUGGGCGCAAGCCUGAUCCAGCCAUGCCGCGUGAGUGAUGAAGGCCUUAGGGUUGUAAAGCUCUUUUGCCGGGGAUGAUAAUGACCGUACCCGGAGAAUAAGCCACGGCUAAAUUCGUGCCAGCAGCCGCCGUAA